GUAGUCAUAGCCAAGUGGUUAAGGUGAUGGACUAGAAAUUCACUGGGGUUUCCCUGCGCAGGUUUAAAUCCUGCUGACUAUG